GCUUCCCAAAGUGCAAGCUGCCGGUCUUGAUGAGGAGGUCAAGCUGUGGCCCUGAGAUUUUAGCCCCUCUCACAGGAGCGUUGCUACUGGAAGCGAACAUGAGGUUGGGUGAACAAACCUGAGACCCAGGGUGGCAAGUACAACCCAACUAGGCCCAACAUGGAGGUUCCGUCUCCCACACCAG
rnacentral:lncRNA from 1 species